AGCCAAUGAGCGUGCGGACUCA
rnacentral:miRNA from 1 species